AACGAACGCUGGCGGCAUGCCUAACACAUGCGAGUCGAACGAGACCUUCGGGUCUAGUGGCGCACGGGUGCGUAACGCGCGGGAACCUGCCCUUAGGUUCGGAAUAACUCCCCGAAAGGGGUGCUAAUACCGGAUAAUGUCUUCGGACCAAAGAUUUAUCGCCUUUGGAUGGGCCCGCGUUGGAUUAGCUAGUUGGUAGGGUAAAAGCCUACCAAGGCGACGAUCCAUAGCUGGUCUGAGAGGAUGAUCAGCCACACUGGGACUGAGACACGGCCCAGACUCCUACGGGAGGCAGCAGUGGGGAAUAUUGGACAAUGGGCGAAAGCCUGAUCCAGCAAUGCCGCGUGAGUGAUGAAGGCCUUAGGGUUGUAAAGCUCUUUUACCCGGGAUGAUAAUGACAGUACCGGGAGAAUAAGCUCCGGCUAACUCCGUG
rnacentral:rRNA from 1 species